rnacentral:rRNA from 1 species
AUGCUAGGCAUAACAAAGAUGUUAACAACCGCCAAUUCUGCACAUUGGGGAAGGGCACUUGUAUCUAUCCAUGGCACAUGUGAGUUGGCAAGAAGGCAAUACUACAAGAUUGCAGAAAUAGGAAAAUGCUUCAGAUUAAACACCUUCUACUUCAGGGUUGAGAUCACAGACCAUAUCAGCAUGGUGCUGAUCAGGAACCACAAAUGCAUCAUCAUUGUUUUCUGCACAUCUAACCCAGGCCAUAGAUGCUAUCCAUCAGAAACCAAGCAAAGGAGCAACUUAGGUUUUUUCUUUACAUGA